rnacentral:rRNA from 1 species
AGAGUUUGAUCAUGGCUCAGAACGUACGCUGGCGGCACGCCUAACACAUGCAAGUCGAACGAAGUAGCAAUACUUAGUGGCAGACGGGUGAGUAACAUGUAGGUAUCUGCCCUUUGGCCUGGAAUAACACGAGGAAACUUGUGCUAAUACCGGAUAAGUCUUUACGGAGAAAGCUUUAUGCACCAUUGGAUGAGCCUGCACUUGAUUAGUUUGUUGGUAGGGUAAUGGCCUACCAAGACUGUGAUCAAUAGCUGAUUUGAGAGGAUGAUCAGCCACAUUGGGACUGAGACACGGCCCAAACUCCUACGGGAGGCAGCAGUGGGGAAUCUUGCACAAUGGAGGAAACUCUGAUGCAGCGAUGCCGCGUGAGUGAAGAAGGCCUUUGGGUUGUAAAGCUCUUUCGUCGGGGAAGAAAAUGACUGUACCCGAAUAAGAAGGUCCGGCUAACUUCGUGCCAGCAGCCGCGGUAAUACGAAGGGACCUAGCGUAGUUCGGAAUUACUGGGCUUAAAGAGUUCGUAGGUGGUUGAAAAAGUUGGUGGUGAAAUCCCAGAGCUUAACUCUGGAACUGCCAUCAAAACUUUUCAGCUAGAGUAUGAUAGAGGAAAGCAGAAUUUCUAGUGUAGAGGUGAAAUUCGUAGAUAUUAGAAAGAAUACCAAUUGCGAAGGCAGCUUUCUGGAUCAUUACUGACACUGAGGAACGAAAGCAUGGGUAGCGAAGAGGAUUAGAUACCCUCGUAGUCCAUGCCGUAAACGAUGUGUGUUAGACGUUGGAAAUUUAUUUUCAGUGUCGCAGCGAAAGCGAUAAACACACCGCCUGGGGAGUACGACCGCAAGGUUAAAACUCAAAUGAAUUGACGGGGACCCGCACAAGUAGUGGAGCAUGUGGUUUAAUUCGAAGAUACGCGCAGAACCUUACCAACACUUGACAUGUUCGUCGCGACUUUAAGAGAUUAAAGUUUUCGGUUCGGCCGGACGAAACACAGGUGCUGCAUGGCUGUCGUCAGCUCGUGUCGUGAGAUGUUGGGUUAAGUCCCGCAACGAGCGCAACCCUCACUUUUAGUUGCCAUCAUUUAGUUGGGCACUCUGAAAGAACUGCCAGUGAUAAGCUGGAGGAAGGUGGGGAUGACGUCAAGUCCUCAUGGCCCUUACGUGUUGGGCUACACACGUGCUACAAUGGUAUCUACAACAGGAAGCAAGACGGCGACGUUAAGCAAAUCCUUAAAAGAUACCUCAGUUCGGAUUGCACUCUGCAACUCGAGUGCAUGAAGCUGGAAUUACUAGUAAUCGUGGAUCAGCGUGCCACGGUGAAUGCGUUCCCGGGUCUUGUACACACCGCCCGUCACACCAUGGGAGUUGGUUCUACCUUAAGGCAAGGUUUAAAACCCUUGACCACGGUAUAGUCAGCGACUGGGGUGAAGUCGUAACAAGGUAGCCGUA